AUAUCUCUCUGUACGGGAAGGAUGAGAAGCUUCGACCAAGGUUCGAUUCGAGCGCAGCGAGAAAGCGUUGCCGCAGGCAACGACCCGAAGGGCGAA
rnacentral:sRNA from 3 species